rnacentral:rRNA from 1 species
UACGUAGGCAGCAAGCGUUGUUCGGAAUUACUGGGCGUAAAGCGUGCGCAGGCGGUUGUGCAAGACCGAUGUGAAAUCCCCGGGCUCAACCUGGGAAUGGCAUUGGUGACUGUACGGCUAGAGUGUGUCAGAGGGGGGUAGAAUUCCACGUGUAGCAGUGAAAUGCGUAGAGAUGUGGAGGAAUACCGAUGGCGAAGGCAGCCCCCUGGGAUAACACUGACGCUCAUGAACGAAAGCGUGGGGAGCAAACAGG